rnacentral:rRNA from 1 species
ACUCCUACGGGAGGCAGCAGUGAGGGAUAUUGCGCAAUGGGGGAAACCCUGACGCAGUGACGCCGCGUGAGUGAUGAAGGCUUUCGAGUUGUAAAGCUCUGUUAGGUGGAAAGAAAUAUCCACGUGCUAAUACCACGUGGACUUGACGGUACCACCAAAGGAAGCACCGGCUAACUCCGUGCCAGCAGCCGCGGUAAUACGGAGGGUGCAAGCGUUGUUCGGAAUUACUGGGCGUAAAGGGCGUGUAGGCGGUUUUGCAAGUCAGAUGUGAAAUCCCUUAGCUUAACUAAGGAAGUGCAUUUGAAACUGCUUGACUAGAGUAUGGGAGGGGAAAGUGGAAUUCCCAGUGUAGAGGUGAGAUUCAUAGAUAUUGGGAGGAACACCGGUGGCGAAGGCGGCUUUCUGGCCUGAUACUGACGCUGAGACGCGAAAGCGUGGGGAGCAAACAGGAUUAGAUACCCUGGUAGUCCACGCUGUAAACGAUGGGCACUAGGUGUAGGAAGUGUUGACCCUUUCUGUGCCGAAGCUAACGCAUUAAGUGCCCCGCCUGGGGA